rnacentral:rRNA from 1 species
UACGGAGGGUGCAAGCGUUAUCCGGAUUCACUGGGUUUAAAGGGUGUGUAGGCGGGUGUUUAAGUCAGUGGUGAAAUCUCCAGGCUCAACCUGGAAACUGCCAUUGAUACUAUUCAUCUUGAAUUCUGUUGAGGUGGGCGGAAUAUAUCAUGUAGCGGUGAAAUGCUUAGAUAUGAUAUAGAACACCGAUUGCGAAGGCAGCUCACUAAACAGCGAUUGACGCUGAGGCACGAAAGCGUGGGGAUCAAAC